rnacentral:rRNA from 1 species
GAUGAACGCUGGCGGCGUGCCUAAUACAUGCCAGUCGAGCGAACAGAUGAGGAGCUUGCUCCUCUGACGUUAGCGGCGGACGGGUGAGUAACACGUGGAUAACCUACCUAUAAGACUGGGAUAACUUCGGGAAACCGGAGCUAAUACCGGAUAAUAUAUUGAACCGCAUGGUUCAAUAGUGAAAGACGGUUUUGCUGUCACUUAUAGAUGGAUCCGCGCCGCAUUAGCUAGUUGGUAAGGUAACGGCUUACCAAGGCAACGAUGCGUAGCCGACCUGAGAGGGUGAUCGGCCACACUGGAACUGGGACACGGUCCAGACUCCUACGGGAGGCAGCAGUAGGGAAUCUUCCGCAAUGGGCGAAAGCCUGACGGAGCAACGCCGCGUGAGUGAUGAAGGUCUUCGGAUCGUAAAACUCUGUUAUUAGGGAAGAACAAAUGUGUAAGUAACUAUGCACGUCUUGACGGUACCUAAUCAGAAAGCCGCGGCUAACUACGUG